AAUCAACGCUGGCGGCGUGCCUAACACAUGCAAGUCGAACGAGAAAGUCCCGCAAGGGAUGAGUACAGUGGCGUACGGGUGAGUAACACGUGGAUAACCUGCCUUCAAAUGGGGAAUAACCCUGGGAAACCGGGGCUAAGACCGCAUAACACUUGGGAGCUUCGGCUCCAGAGUUGAAAUCCGCAAGGAGUUUGAAGAGGGGUCCGCGGCUGAUUAGCUAGUUGGCGGGGUAAUGGCCCACCAAGGCUUUGAUCAGUAGCCGGCCUGAGAGGGCGGACGGCCACACUGGAACUGCAACACGGUCCAGACUCCUACGGGAGGCAGCAGUGGGGAAUUUUGCGCAAUGGGGGAAACCCUGACGCAGCAACGCCGCGUGGACGAUGAAGCUUCUUGGAGUGUAAAGUCCUUUCGGCAGGGAAGAAUCCUCGCAAGAGGUUGACGGUACCUGAAGAAGAAGCCCCGGCUAACUCCGUGCCAGCCGCCGCAGUAAGAC
rnacentral:rRNA from 1 species